rnacentral:rRNA from 1 species
ACUCCUACGGGAGGCAGCAGUAGGGAAUCUUCCACAAUGGACGAAAGUCUGAUGGAGCAACGCCGCGUGAACGAUGAAGGCUUUCGGGUCGUAAAGUUCUGUUGUAAGGGAAGAACAAGUGCCGCAGGCAAUGGCGGCACCUUGACGGUACCUUGCGAGAAAGCCACGGCUAACUACGUGCCAGCAGCCGCGGUAAUACGUAGGUGGCAAGCGUUGUCCGGAAUUAUUGGGCGUAAAGCGCGCGCAGGCGGCCUCUUAAGUCUGAUGUGAAAGCCCCCCGGCUCGAACCGGGGAGGGCCAUUGGAAACUGGGAGGCUUGAGUAUAGGAGAGAAGAGUGGAAUUCCAUGUGUAGCGGUGAAAUGCGUAGAGAUGUGGAGGAACACCGAGUGGCGAAGGCGGACUCUUUGGCCUAUAACUGACGCUGAGGCGCGAAAGCGUGGGAGCAAACAGGAUUAGAGUACCCCUGGUAGGAUAGCGUAGUCGUGGGAGGCAA